rnacentral:rRNA from 1 species
AUACGUAGGUGGCGAGCGUUGUCCGGAUUUACUGGGCGUAAAGGGAGCGUAGGCGGACUUUUAAGUGAGAUGUGAAAUACUCGGGCUCAACCCGGGGGCUGCAUUUCAAACUGGGAGUCUAGAGUGCAGGAGAGGAGAGUGGAAUUCCUAGUGUAGCGGUGAAAUGCGUAGAGAUUAGGAAGAACACCAGUGGCGAAGGCGACUCUCUGGACUGUAACUGACGCUGAGGCUCGAAAGCGUGGGGAGCAAACAGGAUUAGAUACCCUGGUAGUCCACGCCGUAAACGAAGAAUACUAGGUGUAGGGGUUGUCAUGACCUCUGUGCCGCCGCUAACGCAUUAGGUAUUCCGCCUGGGGAGUACGGUCGCAAGAUUAAA